UCGAGGCCAUUCUGCUGCUGGCGUUGAUCUUCCUGAGGACUCGUAUUCUCAUCGCCAUCGCUCUUAUUCAGGAGACCAGCAAGGCGCUGGGUCACAUGAUGUCAACACUGUUCUAUCCCAUCGUCACGUUCGUGCUGCUGUUGGUGUGUGUGUCGUACUGGGGAAUCACAGCACUAUAUCUGGCCACAUCAGGCGCUCCCUUCUACAAGGUGGUGGCGAUGAACACAUCCCAGGGAGACUGCAGCGUCAUACGAGCCAACGAGACCUGCGACCCAGAGGUC